CCAGACUCCUAUGGGAGGCAGCAGUGGGGAAUCUUGCACAAUGGGGGAAACCCUGAUGCAGCGACGCCGCGUGAGCGAUGAAGCCCUUCGGGGUGUAAAGCUCUUUCGGCAGGGAAGAUGGUGACGGUACCUGCAGAAGCAGCUGCGGCUAACUACGUGCCAGCAGCCGCGGUAAUACGUAGGCAGCAAGCGUUGUUCGGAGUUACUGGGCGUAAAGGGUGUGUAGGCGGUUGUUUAAGUUUGGUGUGAAAUCUCCCGGCUCAACUGGGAGGGUGCGCCGAAUACUGAAUGACUAGAGUGCGGGAGAGGAAAGUGGAAUUCCUGGUGUAGCGGUGAAAUGCGUAGAUAUCAGGAGGAACACCGGUGGUGUAGACGGCUUUCUGGACCGUAACUGACGCUGAGACACGAAAGUGUGGGUAGCAAACAGGAUUAGAUACCCUGGUAGUCCACGCCCUAAACGAUGCAUAUUUGGUGUGGGCAGUUCAUUCUGUCUGUGCCGGAGCUAACGCGUUAAAUAUGCCGCCUGGGGAGUACAGUCGCAAGGCUG
rnacentral:rRNA from 1 species